rnacentral:misc_RNA from 1 species
GUUUUGGUGCACUAAAUGGCUUACACAAGGUGUUUCCUUUAUUUUCUUAUGCAAGGUGUUUCCUCUAUUUUCUUGAGGUUUCUAGCUUUCUAAUAUUGUACCCAUCUAUCCAUAUUGAUUGGUAACAUAAACCUUAAACUACAUCCUGACUCCAAAAUUUUUUGAAUCGGAGGUCAAGAUUAAGGAACAUGGAGCCUGAUAUAUAGCUCAAAUCAAUAUAAAGAAUAAAAAAUGACAAUGGUGUAUGCCCUUCUUAAUCUAUCCAAUCCUUGAGUU